rnacentral:tRNA from 1 species
AGGAGUAUAGCUCAGUUGGUAGAGCAUCGGUCUCCAAAACCGAGGGCCGUGGGUUCGAGUCCCUCCACUCCUGCCA